rnacentral:rRNA from 1 species
CGAACGUUAGCGGCGCGCCUAACACAUGCAAGUCGAACGAGAAAGCACCUUCGGGUGUGAGUAAAGUGGCGCACGGGUGAGUAUCACGUGGGUAAUUUACCUUCCGGCGGGGGACAACACUCCGAAAGGGGUGCUAAUACCGCAUACGUCCGCUUCGGCGGGGAAAGAUGGCCUCUUCUUGAAAGCUAUCACCGGAUGAUGAGCCCGCGGCCCAUCAGCUUGUUGGUAGGGUAAUGGCCUACCAAGGCUACGACGGGUAGCUGGUCUGAGAGGAUGAUCAGCCACACUGGAACUGAGACACGGUCCAGACUCCUACGGGAGGCAGCAGUGGGGAAUAUUGCGCAAUGGGCGAAAGCUUGACGCAGCGACGCCGCGUGGGUGAUGAAGGAUUUCGGUUCGUAAAGCCCUGUGGGAGAGGGACGAACAACCCGAGGGAAUAAUACCUCGCGGGUCUGACGGUACCUCUCCAGAAAGCACCGGCUAACUCC